UAUUAUCGUCAUUAGCCUGAUGCA
rnacentral:siRNA from 1 species